UUCACGGCAGUCCCCAGGUCGAAGAAUCCCGCUGCCGCGUUCCACCCGCCUUCCGCCGCCUUCAUUGUCAUCUACCCACAGGCCUCCUCCGCGCCGCCGCAUGUGCCUCGUCCGCGGAGGCGGAGACUUCCCUUGUGCCACCACCUCUGGGGAGGGAGGACUGGGGGACCAAACUCGCGCUGGAUGUGCCUCACGGGUGAGCAGCAGCCAGGUUGAUUCUGCCCAAAUUUCUCGUCAGCGCCAGGUUUCUAGACAAGUAAAUCCUCACGCUGCACAAGGCACUCAUGUUCAACAACCAGAUAUGCUUAUGCACACAACCUGUUUGAUGAAAUGACUGAAGAAACAAAAAAAAAAUUACAGACCAUUCUUAUGUUCGUUGGAGACGGAAAAGUGGUAGAAUUGGGAAGGAGAUGAUUGAUUGGCUAGAAGUGACGACUGAGAAGAAGUGGUGGUCUAUCACCUUCAUAGUCCAAAUUUUCUCUGCUCCAAGGCUACGUCUGUGAGGGAGUCGAUAGAGGGGUUCAUCGGCCAUGGCAACGAUGAGCUCUGGAGUGGGUUGAUUUUGCUUAUGGGUCUGUGUUCUUUGCGCACGUCAGCCUCUAGGACGGGCCGCCAUGAGAACAUCCUGCCAGACCUCGCAAUGGAGUAAUCCUUACAUUUUCCUCACAAUAAUUUCCUUUUUUUGUCUCAAACUCUCAAUGCGCUAGGUUGUCUACGCUUCUACGGGGCAUGCAAGAAUGAGUGCCGGAGGCGGCUGUUGCGGUCCUACAUAGCGCACAGGUAUCGGAGAGUAUGAAUGUGUACCUUUGAAUUGGAGAUGGCAAGCACGGUUGUAUGAAUUUUCUUAGCAUGCGAUGCUGUCUUUGGUACAAGUCUGAUGAUAUUUAUUUUGUAAAUGACAAACUCAGAUUAUGCAAGUUGAUGAUAUGAGAUAGAUGAUGUUAGUGGUUACCUUAACACUGCAGAGUUAUCCCUGGUUCAGCAGAUGAAUACUCCAUGCAACUGAUAUCUGGAGAUUUUCAGUAAUAUCAUUUCAGAGAUUGGUAGAUUGUUCUUUUAUACAUUGAGGCAUUAUGUUUCCCAUAACAAGUGUGAUCCAACUACAGAUUUAAGUCUCGGUGAAUGUAUAUAUUGUAUGGUUAAUCUGCGAUUGUUCGUUUUAAAUCAUAAUUUGCAGUCUGGUUUCUAUUGUCAGCUGACUAGGUAGAAUAUCGUAAGAAAUUUCACAAUAUCAGGGAAUUGCUAAUGACAAGGAUAAGCUUGGAUUACACCUGCAUGUUAUAGGUAAUUAUGUCAUGUGUUUUUUGUUUUCAGUUCCUCUUCCAUGUGCAUUACCUGAGAAAUUAAAAUCCGCCCAACCUCCACUAUUAGUGUAUUGGAGAGCUUUGUUGUUGCCUAAAUUUUGCCUGCAGUACAUACCAUUCGGUUUUGACUAACAUUUUAAAUCAUUAUUUGAAUUCUACCAGCUUUCUAUGCAUGAAGAUAAUAACGGAUGUUGAAGAAAACUUGGCUCUUAGAUUACGUGGAAGAGUACCACCAGAGAAAUAGCACUCCCUUUGGUUAUUCUCGAUUACUACUGCAUUUCUUAGACUAGCGAUCUCACCAACUGAUUUCGCUUAUUUGGACACAUCUUCGUGUUCUUUUUAGCUUUCGUAGUGAGAGCGCAGAGACUCGUGGCAGGUGGUGAUGGCACGUGCAUUGCAGUGGAGAGUAGAAGAGAUGAGGGGAGCGUAGUAGACUUGUGGUGGCAGACAAGUACACAAGACACAGAAGGAGAUUGAGGAGAAAAUCGGUGCUACUGGUGACAUAUCUCUUCUACUCAACUGUUCCAUGUGCAUAAUUUGAGGCUUGAUUAUGUAUAUAUUCAUUAAGUUAGUCAUUUCAACUUCAACUUUGAUAGUAUUGGAUAUGCAGUGAACACAAAGUAUCUCACCUGAUUUUAUCUGUGCCAUUGAGGUUUGGAAAGUGCUUACUGAUAUCAUCUACUGUGCAUGAUUAAUUGUCGUAGGUUUUUUCUGUUACCUUUCAACGGUUAGUCCAGGAAGUUGUUUAUUUUUCGAUGCCCUGAGAUUUUAUUUGUUCAUUUACCAUGAAUCUUAUCUCUUGCAAGCAUAAGAGAUAGUGCUAACAAUUUACACAAGAUACAUAAACAAAGUGUUAUGUGAAAUGACAGUAAAUGUUUGAUGUUUUUAUGCCACUUGUGACCUCCUGUUUAGCUUAAUGGAUAUGGUAACAAAUUGUGGAGUAUGCCACCCUCUGUUCUCCAAAGUUUUUACUCAAAUC